rnacentral:rRNA from 1 species
AACAAACGCUGGCGGCGUGCCUAAUACAUGCAAGUCGAACGGGGAAAGCUUUCGGGUGAGUACUAGUGGCGCACGGGUGAGGAACGCGUGGAUAAUCUGCCUUAGAGUGGGGGAUAACUAGUCGAAAGAUUAGCUAAUACCGCAUAAGACCACAGGAGCUGCGGCUCAAGGGGUCAACGGUUUUUCGCUCUAAGAUGAGUCCGCGUAAGAUUAGCUAGUUGGUGAGGUAACGGCUCACCAAGGCGACGAUCUUUAACUGGUCUGAGAGGAUGAUCAGUCACACUGGAACUGAGACACGGUCCAGACUCCUACGGGAGGCAGCAGUAGGGAAUAUUGCACAAUGGAGGAAACUCUGAUGCAGCGACGCCGCGUGAGUGAUGAAGGCCUUCGGGUCGUAAAGCUCUGUCGCAGGGGAAUAACACAAUGAAGGUACCCUGUAAGAAAGGAUCGGCUAACUUCGUGCCAGCAGCCGCCGUAAGAC